GAAAACUGGGCUCUACCAUAUUUUGCAUGCCAAGUUGCUGCACUUACAGGCUAUUUAAAGAGAAAUGUAAAUACGUACGCAGAGAGGUUUUGCUACUUGUUGCUGAGUACCUCGACGUACACGUUCAUGAUGGUGUGGGAGUACAGCCACUACAUCCUGUUUCUUCAAGCAGUCUCCCUGCUGCUGUUAGACAUCUUCUCAGUGCAGCAAAGCGACAAGGUUUAUGAAGUAUAUAAAAUCUACAUAUUUUCUCUCUUCCUUGGGUAUUUACUGCAGUUUGAGAAUCCAGCUUUAUUGGUAUCUCCUUUAUUAAGCUUAACAGGAGCGUUCAUGCUUAUUAAGUGCUUUCAGCUAAAUGUGAAAAAAGGAACGUUUGUGGCCAAAGUAAUCAAAGUGUUUG
rnacentral:lncRNA from 1 species